UACGUAGGGUCCGAGCGUUGUCCGGAAUUAUUGGGCGUAAAGGGCGCGUAGGCGGAUGUUUAAGUCAGAGGUGAAAGCCCCAGGGCUCAACCUUGGAACUGCCUUUGAUACUGGGCAUCUUGAGUAUGGGAGAGGUGAGUGGAACUCCGAGUGUAGAGGUGAAAUUCGUAGAUAUUCGGAAGAACACCAGUGGCGAAGGCGACUCACUGGCCCAUUACUGACGCUGAGGCGCGAAAGCGUGGGGAGCAACAGG
rnacentral:rRNA from 1 species